rnacentral:lncRNA from 1 species
UUUCACUUUACACAGCCAUUAGUUGCUAAACAUUUAUUUAUGGCCAAAUAUUUCGCGUUCCAUAUUAAUGCGCACACUUUUAUGCAAGCGCCGAAAAUUAAUGUAUGGCUUUGAUUAAAAAUCUGCAUAAUAAAAUACAUUUCGAGUCAGUUUCCCUUUGUGGUCUUUUUUCUGGCUUUGGUCGAUCCGAGAUUGCGGCGGCGUUUCGUGAUUCAUUGUGGGAAUAUUGUUGGUCAGGCGCAUACGAUACGGUACGGAUUAGGCCACCCAUUUCAUUUUGAUUUGCAUUAUUUGUUAACUUUUAGAUAGAACUUACAAACCUGAAAAUUAUGGGUUAAAUAGACUUUAAAAGAAAAGGUAUAAAAAAGUAUAAAAAAGUAAGUGAGGAAAGGAAACACUUUUCCCUGUCCAACAGCUGCUGCAGCUCUCCUCCUGAUCCUGCUACUGUUCCGUGCCUGUUCCUGCUGCCUUGUUGUGGGUAUUGCCAAUUUAAGCGCAAAUGCAAUUGGAAUUUGCAAUGAAUAUUUAAACAAACGUACACACAGCGAGUGGAGUGGAGAGUGUGGAGUAGUGACUGGCGAUGGU